rnacentral:rRNA from 1 species
UUUAUCCUACGGGGCGCAGCAGUGAGGAAUAUUGGUCAAUGGCCGAGAGGCUGAACCAGCCAAGUCGCGUGAGGGAUGACGGCCCUACGGGUUGUAAACCUCUUUUGUCGGGGAGCAAAGAGAGUCACGUGUGGCUCAUUGAGAGUACCCGAAGAAUAAGCAUCGGCUAACUCCGUGCCAGCAGCCGCGGUAAUACGGAGGAUGCGAGCGUUAUCCGGAUUUAUUGGGUUUAAAGGGUGCGUAGGCGGAUUUUUAAGUCAGCGGUAAAAUGUCCGGGCUCAACCCGGGCCGGCCGUUGAAACUGG